rnacentral:rRNA from 1 species
AGGACGAACGCUGGCGGCGUGCUUAACACAUGCAAGUCGAGCGGAAAGGCCCUUUCGGGGGUACUCGAGCGGCGAACGGGUGAGUAACACGUGAGUAACCUGCCCUGGACUUUGGGAUAACCCUCGGAAACGGGGGCUAAUACCGGAUAUGACUUGCCUCUGCAUGGGGGUGGGUGGAAAGUUUUUCGGUCUGGGAUGGGCUCGCGGCCUAUCAGCUUGUUGGUGGGUGAUGGCCUACCAAGGCGACGACGGGU